AUUGAACGCUGGCGGCAUGCCUUACACAUGCAAGUCGAACGGUAACAGGUUAAGCUGACGAGUGGCGAACGGGUGAGUAAUGUAUCGGAACGUGCCCAGUCGUGGGGGGAUAACGUAGCGAAAGCUGCGCUAAUACCGCAUACGAUCUAUGGAUGAAAGCGGGGGAUCGCAAGACCUCGCGCGAUUGGAGCGGCCGAUAUCAGAUUAGGUAGUUGGUGGGGUAAAGGCCCACCAAGCCGACGAUCUGUAGCUGGUCUGAGAGGACGACCAGCCACACUGGGACUGAGACACGGCCCAGACUCCUACGGGAGGCAGCAGUGGGGAAUUUUGGACAAUGGGCGCAAGCCUGAUCCAGCAAUGCCGCGUGCAGGAUGAAGGCCUUCGGGUUGUAAACUGCUUUUGUACGGAACGAAACAGCUCUUUCUAAUUACAGAGGGCGGAAUGACGGUACCGUAAGAAUAAGCACCGGCUAACUACGUGCCAGCAGCCGCGGUAAU
rnacentral:rRNA from 1 species